GUUGGGGGUUUCGAUACCCUUGGUGCCGAAGUUAACACAUUAAGCAUUCCGCCUGGGGAGUACGGUCGCAAGACUGAAACUCAAAGGAAUUGACGGGGACCCGCACAAGCAGUGGAGUAUGUGGUUUAAUUCGAAGCAACGCGAAGAACCUUUCCAGGUCUUGACAUCGCUCUGACCUUUUCUAGGAUAGGCCUUUCCUUCGGGACAGAGGAGACAGUGGGCGGACGGUUGCGCAGGUCUGUCUGAGAUGUUGGUUAAAUCCCGCAACGAGCGCAACCCUUAUCUUAGUUGCCAGCAGGUCAAGCUGGGCACUCUAAGCAGACUGCCGGUGACAAACCGGAGGAAGGKGGGGAUGACUUCAAAUCAUCAUGCCCCUUAUGACCUGGGCUACACACGUACUACAAUGGCCGGUACAACGGGAAGCCUAAUCCCGAGGUGGAGCCAAUCCUAUAAAAGCCGGUCUCAGUUCGGAUUGUAGGCUGCAACUUGCCUACAUGAAGUCGGAAUUGCUAAUAAUCGCGGGUCAGCGUGGGGCGCCGAAUAAGUUCCCGGGUCUUGUACACACCGCCCGUCUCCCCCCCGAGAGUUUACAACACCCGAAGUCUGUGGGGUAACCCGCAAGGGAGCCCCCCGCCCAAGGUGGGGUAGAUGAUUGGGGGGAAGUC
rnacentral:rRNA from 1 species